rnacentral:rRNA from 1 species
GACGCACGCUGGCGGCGUGCCUAAUACAUGCAAGUCGAACGCAGUGGGGACGGGUGAGUAACACGUGGGUAACCUGCCCAUCAGAGGGGAUAACACUUGGAAACAGGUGCUCAACCGAUACUGAUGGAUGGACCCGCGGUGCAUUAGCUAGUUGGUGAGGUAACGGCUCACCAAGGCCACGAGGCAUAGCCGACCGGGAAGGGUGAUGGGCAACACGGGGAGUGAGACACGGCCCAGACUCCUACGGGGGGCAGAGGGAGGGAAUCUUCGGAAAUGGAGGAAAGUCGAACCGAUAAACGCAGCGGGAGGAAAGAAGGUUUUCGUAUCGUAAAACUCUGUGGUUAUAGAAGCGGUAUCUAACAAGAAAGCCACGGCUAACUACGGGCCAGCAGCCGCGGUAAUUA